rnacentral:tmRNA from 1 species
GGGGAUGAUCGGCUUCGACGGAGGUGGUUGACAGUCGACUGCGAGCCGAGAGGCGCCGAUCUCGAGAAAUCAGCGCACGUGUCAAGUGCCAACCGCACAAACUACGCUGCUCUCCCGCUCGCGGCCUAACCCCGCGAUUUGGUAGAGCUGUCCCCUAAAGGGACACGUCGCCCUCCGCGCCCUCCUCUGCGGACGGGAACGGCGGCGAGAGAAUCGCAGAGGUGCGGCACGCCGGGCCACUCGACGUGCUCAAGACGGGCUCUCGGGCCCGAGUGGCUGGUCUGCCGAUGAGCCCGCUCGCCGGCGCCCGGCAGGCAAGAUCAUAGGCGGGCUACGCUCGUAGAUGUCGGCUGAUCGAAACUUUCGGACGCGGGUUCAAUUCCCGCCAUCUCCACCU